rnacentral:tRNA from 1 species
GCUCUGGGAUUUAUCCUAGAAGUUUGAAGGCGACGGACUCAAGAUCCGUUCCCGCAGGGGUUCGCAGGUUCGAGUCCUGUCCCCGGCA